UCACUUCAUUGUGUUGAUACGCUAUAAAAAUGUUUGUUCUUUAUUUGUGUGUGUUUGGGGAUUUGAGAGUUGAGGGAUAGAUGGAGGCGAUUCUGCCGUUGGGGAUCAUAUUGCAUCGCCGGCAACGUCCAAUAUUUUCUUCACAAAGCCGCUCAUCAUUUUCUGUGUUUUUCAUUCGUAUCUGAAUCUGAUUUAUUUACUAUUUACUAUUUACUAUUUAUUUGUUCUACAUCGGUAAUGAUUUGUGGGAUGUCGCCAUGUGAAGACGUGAUAACAACAUCGUCCACCAAAAACUCUCCUUCUAAUUUCGAUUUUAUCCACUUUCAGGUUCUAUUCCUAAACGAAUCUCUUUCAACUUCGAUUUUCAGAGCUUCUCUACCUAAGUAACUAAUAACUAAUAUCAACAUCUAGGGUUCACUUCCAUUCAUCAUUUCGAUCUCUAAUAAUAGUAUGGAAGGAAGUUUUAAGGAACAAAAAAAAACGUUCAUCAGAAGUUUGACUUUUAGUACUAUAUAUCGACUUCCAUUAGAUUUCAUGUGGUAAUUUGUUACAAAUACAAAAAGCUCAUGGUGAUGUGUGUUUGAACUUUGAAUUUGGUUCUUUCAAAUAGUUUCUUACAAUUUAUUGAUGGAUUUGUUACAUCCAAGAGAUUGCUGGACUUUUAAGCACAACCACUAAGUGUCAGUAGUCAAAUCCAUAGUGAUGAUAUGGUCAAAGUUGUAGUAUAUUAUUACUCUUGGAGAAAAAAGUUUCUAUUUUUGGUAGGUAA